rnacentral:rRNA from 1 species
CCAAUAGCGUAUAUUAAAGUUGUUGCAGUUAAAAAGCUCGUAGUUGAAUUUCGGGAUCAAUAUGUCGGUCGUGCCUUCGGUACGUACUGGUAUCAUUGGUCUCUCCUUUCUGACGAACCAUGAUGUCAUUAAUUUGGUGUUAUGGGGAGUUAGGACUGUUACUUUGAAAAAAUUAGAGUGUUUAAAGCAGGCUUUAGCUUGAAUACAUUAGCCUGGAAUAAUGAAAUAGGACGUUCGAACCUAUUUUGUUGGUUUCUAGGAUCAACGUAAUGAUUAAUAGUGAUAGUUGGGGGCAUUAGUAUUCAAUUGUCAGAGGUGAAAUUCUUGGAUUUAUUGAAGACUAACUACUGCGAAAGCAUUUGCCAAGGAUGUUUUCAUUAAUCAAGAACGAAAGUUAGGGGAUCGAAGACGAUCAGAUACCGUCGUAGUCUUAACCAUAAACUAUGCCGACUAGGGAUCGGAUGAUGUUAAUUUUUUAAUGACUCAUUCGGCGCCUUACG